rnacentral:lncRNA from 1 species
AUGUCAGCUUCGGUUUUUCCACACAUUCUCAGUAAGUGUGGAUGUGAGUAAUACAUGAUACACUGUGGUGUUUCCAUCUAAUACAUCCCGCAGUCAAUAAAUUUAGAUGGUGCUAGAGAGUAGUUAGAGUAGAAAUUAAAUUGUAUAUGAUCAUAAUCCCCUUCUUGACUUAAUAAAACAUACGUGAAAACAUUUAUUUAAUAAGACUCAAAAUAAACUUAAUAUCAGUAAACCUCUUUCAUACUUAAACAACACUAUCCCAU